CGGCCUGAGGUCGGACGAGGCUACCCGCUGAAUUUAAGCAUAUUACUAAGCGGAGGAAAAGAAACUAACGAGGAUUCCCUCAGUAACGGCGAGUGAAGCGGGACGAGCCCAGCGCCGAAUCCGGCCGCUUAUGGAGCGGACGGAAUUGUGGCGUAUGGGAUUCGCUU
rnacentral:ncRNA from 1 species